CGCGGGCAGCUGGAAUACAGGCUGAGUCUCACACAACAUGCUUGAAAUUAUUUACCGCGUGAGGAAGAUAUAUUACUUGAUUGUUGCCGUUAUUGGUGUCCCUGGAUUCCAACAGAUUUGUCUGGGAAGAUUUCUACUGAAGAAAACCAUGCCGACUUUGGCCGUACAGGGGAGGAUUCAAGAGAACUGUCAUGUAGAUGGGGAAUAAGAUGGCGGCACAACGCAGCGCACACGGCCUCUCUGGAGAAUGUUAUCUGUUACUUGUUAAGUACAGAUUUGUAUCUGUACAUUAAGUAUAAUAUUAUUGUAUAAUAAGUACCCUGAUUUGAUGGAGAUACACGUGAGUGCACGGAGGAACUUCGGGAGAAACUUCUGAAAUGACCGCUUCGCCGCCGCUGCUACUGUGCGGUGCGGUCCGGAAUCUCCGGAUGAAAAGGCCUCCGAGACCUCGGCUUUGCUUGUUUCGGUGGCCAGGACGAUGUCGAUGGCGCUCGGAGCCUGUAUUGCAGGCUUGAAGUUUUCGGACGGACUCAGAGUCUGCUGUGGUCGGGUGCUUCCAAGGCAUCAGUUUGUCGGUGCCUGAGAGUUUAUAGCAGGGAGAGUUUCUCCCUUUUUCUGCCUGAUAUCGGGACUAUUGGAGUCGAUCGGGACUUGAGACUUUCUCUUAAACCGUGCCCAUGCUCUACUUUUAUCAAAUGAUGGUAUUGAUUUGCACUGCUGUAACUAUAUGCUAUGAUUAUGUGCUUUUUUUUGUCAAUGUGAGUCUUUGGUUUGUCCUGUUUUUUGUGUGAUAUCACUCUGGAGGAACAUUGUAUUAUUUCAUAAUGCCCGCAUGCAUUUCUAAAUGACAAUAAACGAGGACUGAGUGUCCUCAUAAUCUAAUGGAACAGAAUCACUGGCAGGGUCCAGCUGGCCAGGGUCGACUCUCUACUGUACACUAGGUGUGUUACAAAUUCACUUAAGUAGCAAAGACAGAGUUUAAAAUAAACUUAUUUAUUUGUCUCAGAUCCAGAAUAUUAAACUCCAGUCCCAUUAAAGGUGUAUGUGCAGCAGAAGAAACUCCUCCCAUGCCCAGAGACCAGGGUGCAGAACUGGAUGUGGUGAGCAGCAGUAAGUCAGCUCCAACAGUCACUCUCGAAAUUGCAUUCAGCAACGGUGAUGGACAAAUAUCCAGCAUGCAGAUUAUUGAAACUUUCUCCCCUGUGUGAACAAGGCAGUGUGUCACAAGUAUAAUAUGCUGUAAGGUUUCACUGCAGAGGCAAUGGUUUCUCUGUAAGCAGCAAUGUUUAGGUUAAGACCAGAGAAAACAGGGUUUUGGAGUGCAGGGCUAUCCGAUGAGAGAAAUCUUCUUUCUUGUGAGUCUGGAGGAGAGAUUUUGUGGUCAUUUGCUGGGGAGAGAUGAGAAGACGUGAAUGGAGAGAGUGGGCCCUUUUCCUUUUUUUUUGUUUGUUUACUUUACUAACCCUAUAGUCAAAGUAAGAAUUAUAAAGCUCAAUUGUUUGAU